GGUUCUGUUAUGUUUCAGAUUGAUAAUAUUUUUCUUAUUUUGUAACAAAUGACACUAACUUUAUUUAUUUGGUUUUGUAACUGAUUUUUCUUUUGCAAUGUUUACUUUUUAACUGCACUUUACAUAGAAUUAGUAGACAAUUUAUAUGUAUAUAACAUAUAUCUAUUUUUAACUUUUCUAUUGUGAAGAGAAAAAAUGACAUUCUCAUGAGAAUGAAGUGAUGUGUGGAGUUUUACAAUUUUAGGAUCCAUGUCUCCCUCUCCUUCCCAGUGUAAUCUUGUCCUGUUCUUUCCAACACCCUUGCUCUCCAUAACCACACCUCGUGCCCUAAUCCCCCCCCCCAAAAAAAUGGUUUUGGUAUCACAUUUCUUUUUCCAAAUAUUGUUUGGUUCCUAGAAGCCUUGAAUAUAUGCAUUUUAUUCUUUUUUAAAUAGUGUAGUUCACUAGCUGCCAGUGUAUAUUAUCUCUUUGGUGCUAGUAC
rnacentral:misc_RNA from 1 species